rnacentral:rRNA from 1 species
AAUUCGCCCUUAGAGUUUGAUCCUGGCUCAGAUUGAACGCUGGCGGCAUGCCUUACACAUGCAAGUCGAACGGUAACGCGGGGCAGCCUGGCGACGAGUGGCGAACGGGUGAGUAAUAUAUCGGAACGUGCCCAGUCGUGGGGGAUAACUGCUCGAAAGAGCAGCUAAUACCGCAUACGACCUGAGGGUGAAAGCGGGGGAUCUUCGGACCUCGCGCGAUUGGAGCGGCCGAUAUCAGAUUAGGUAGUUGGUGGGGUAAAGGCCUACCAAGCCGACGAUCUGUAGCUGGUCUGAGAGGACGACCAGCCACACUGGGACUGAGACACGGCCCAGACUCCUACGGGAGGCAGCAGUGGGGAAUUUUGGACAAUGGGGGCAACCCUGAUCCAGCCAUGCCGCGUGCGGGAAGAAGGCCUUCGGGUUGUAAACCGCUUUUGUCAGGGAAGAAAUCCUUUGGGCUAAUAACUCGGAGGGAUGACGGU